UAGGUCUGCCUUUAUAUGUCACUUGACCUU
rnacentral:piRNA from 1 species